GCGAGGGAAGGUGAGGACGUCUCCCUGCCGGUGGCUGCCUGCAGAGCGUUGAAUUUCUCUGGAAAGGAGAAAGGAAUCGGCAUUUAUUGAGCACCUGCUGGAGCAACAAGUUCAUCGCUUUAGCCCUUACUUGACCGAUGCUGUGAAUCAAUGAAAAGGCCAGGAUUUUGUGCUUCAGCAGCAUCCUGCAUUAAGGAGCCUGCUCCACGACUCCUGUUUCUUUAUCAGUGUGGUGUUGCCCGAAGCAAGGAUACCUCCUUUCUCCCCCACCCUUUCAGUCAGAAGAACUUUUGCUACAAGAGGUUGUUGUGAUCCCAUCUGAAUUUGAGCCCUAUGGGUUCCAUUUCAUUGAAGAACACCAUUGUGAUUUGUAUUGGAAUUGCAUUGAAUCUGUAAAUUGCAUGCAAAUAGGAAGUCCCAUCUAGGUUUGUUACGUUUUUCCAAUUAUGGAACAUUCAUAAAACAGUGUUAAUAAGAAAUGUAGGUGUUAUUUUCUGUAAUUUCUAAAACAGACAGAGUAGGUCUGUUCUCUAGAGAUGAGGAAAGAAUGUUUCAGAUGGAAAGGCAAAGGCAUUUUAUCAUAGAAUAGAUGAGCAGUUAUUGAUCGUAUAAUAAUAUUAGGAUAUUCUUCCGCCUUCACGCUGAUGGAACGCUAAGUAAGAUCGGCCCUUUGUCAUCUGCUUCAUGGUGCUGUUAGGGGGAAAGGAUGUCCUGAGAUAAUCUCAUACAGGCUUUGUGGACUCCACCCCCACUCCAGACUAAAGCCAUCAGGACAUUGGGAAAGACAAAUCCCAUCACCACCAAGGGGAGGGUGGCUGGGACCUGAGGGUGGAGUUGGGCAGCCAGGUUGGAUAUAAAAACCAAACACGUGGGCCUUGCUCUCUCUCUGGCUCGCGA